CACCAAGAGUGAGCAUCUCACCGGCCUCAAAGAAAAGUUUAAGAGGAUGUGUGAGAAAUCCAUGAUCAGGAAACGUUACAUGCACCUGAAUGAAGAGAUCCUCACUGAGAACCCUAACGUCUGCGCCUACAUGGCUCCUUCCCUCGACGCCCGCCAGGAUAUGGUUGUCGUCGAGGUACCAAAGCUCGGCAAAGAAGCUGCCGCCAAGGCCAUCAAAGAGUGGGGGCAG
rnacentral:misc_RNA from 1 species